CGGACGGGUGAGUAAUGUCUGGGAAACUGCCUGAUGAGGGGGGAUAACUACUGGAAACGGUAGCUAAUACCGCAUAACGUCGCAAGACCAAGAGGGGGACCUUCGGGCCUCUUGCCAUCGGAUGUGCCCAGAUGGGAUUAGCUAGUAGGUGGGGUAAAGGCUCACCUAGGCGACGAUCCCUAGCUGGUCUGAGAGGAUGACCAGCCACACUGGAACUGAGACACGGUCCAG
rnacentral:rRNA from 1 species